GAUGAACGCUGGCGGCGUGCCUAAUACAUGCAAGUUGAGCGAACGGACGAGAAGCUUGCUCCUCUGAUGUUAGCGGCGGAUGGGUGAGUAACACGUGGAUAACCUACCUAUAAGACUGGGAUAACUUCGGGAAACCGGAGCUAACACCGGAUGAUAUUUUGAACCGCAUGGUUCAAAAGUGGAAGACGGUCUUGCUGUCACUUAUAGAUGGAUCCGCGCUGCAUUAGCUAGUUGGUAAGGUAACGGCUUACCAAGGCAACGAUGCAUAGCCGACCUGAGAGGGUGAUCAGCCACACUGGAACUGAGACACGGUCCAGACUCCUACGGGAGGCACCAGAAGGAAAUCUUCCGCAAUGGGCGACAGCCUGACGGAGCAACGCCGCGUGAGUGAUGAAGGUCUUCGGAUCGUAAAACUCUGUUAUUAGGGAAGAACAUAUGUGUGAGUAACUGUGCACAUCUUGACGGUACAUAAUCAGAAAGCCACGGCUAACUACGUG
rnacentral:rRNA from 1 species